UUGACCUCGGAUCAGGUAGGACUACCCGCUGAACUUAAGCAUAUCAAUAAGCGGAGGAAAAGAAACCAACAGGGAUUGCCUCAGUAACGGCGAGUGAAGCGGCAACAGCUCAGAUUUGGAAUCUGGCCCCCAGGGCCCGAGUUGUAAUCUGGAGAGGAUGCUUCUGGCGCGGCGCCUUCCGAGUUCCCUGGAACGGGACGCCGGAGAGGGUGAGAGCCCCGUACGGUCGGACGCCCAGCCUCUGUGAAGCUCCUUCGACGAGUCGAGUAGUUUGGGAAUGCUGCUCAAAAUGGGAGGUAAAUUUCUUCUAAAGCUAAAUACCGGCCAGAGACCGAUAGCGCACAAGUAGAGUGAUCGAAAGAUGAAAAGCACUUUGAAAAGAGGG
rnacentral:rRNA from 1 species